CAGCAGCCACGGUAAUACGGAGGAUCCAAGCGUUAUCCGGAUUUAUUGGGUUUAAAGGGUGCGUAGGUGGCCUGUUAAGUCAGGGGUGAAAGACGGUAGCUCAACUAUCGCAGUGCCCUUGAUACUGAUGGGCUUGAAUGAACUAGAGGUAGGCGGAAUGUGACAAGUAGCGGUGAAAUGCAUAGAUAUGUCACAGAACACCAAUUGCGAAGGCAGCUUACUAUGGUUUUAUUGACACUGAGGCACGAAAGCGUGGGGAUCAAACAGGAUUAGAUACCCCGGUAGUCCCUGUCUCUUAUAA
rnacentral:rRNA from 1 species